UGUUCACUUCUAGCUGUGGGAGGUGACAGCUGCCCUAGAAUGGCAUGAGUCGAGACAUGAAAAGUCGUCAGAUUUCUGGGGUUUGGUCACUAGAGCAGGAUUGGACAAGACCAGAAGCAGCAGCUGUUUAAGGGAUGCUAAUAAACAGCAAUGUACAAAAUCAAAUGUGAUUAACUCAAAGCUGGGGGACGGAGCCACAACUGUACGGGAAUUCCCGAAGCUCAGAACUAGAACCACAGACAUCAUCUGAGAUAAUCUACUCCAUCCCCUCCUUGUUCCGUUGCCUCCCAUCCUUACCUCCACUGUACAGAUGAAGGGAGCCUGUCCGAGGAAGGGCUUUAUCCAGAACCUGAGCAAGGCUCUUCUGCUGAUUCAGGGUCAAAAAGUAAACAGCAGAGGGCCAUGGAAGGCUCCCUACAAACACAAGCCAGUAUCUAAGAAGCUCUGUUCAGAGGUGUGAAAGCUCCUCUCUCUCCCAGCCCACAGAACCUUCCUCAGCUGAAAGGCCCUUUUGAAAGACAUUAGGUGUGUUAAAAAAUCUUCAUUAAGUAAUUUAAUCGUCUAAGCAUCUAGUACUUCGGCCCUCAAACAGAAAGGAACGUACGGAGAUGCCUGCCUGCCUGUCUGCCUGCCAAGGAGGAACAUGCUUCCCAGCAGUUUGUGGCUGUGAGAUCGCUGGCCCUUGCUCUGCAGCUUGAGGUCCUCCCAGAGCAGUGAUGGAUGGACUUUGUUUUCCUACAAUAUAGAUUUAGUCCCCAUCGUACCCCCAUGAGAUUACAUUUAUACUGCAUAUACCUUAUAGUGGCUACCUGUUUGCAUGGUGUGUCCUCCACUGGAACAUAGGUUCCUUCAGGACAAGGACGUGGUUUUGUCUUUCUUCAUAUCCCCAGUCCUUAGCAGAGGGCCUGGUACAUAGUAAAUGAUUAAUAAAUCCCUAUUAACUGACUGGUGAAAGGACAAGUCAACCCUCCAUCAGGGAAAAGGCAUUAG